rnacentral:lncRNA from 1 species
CCAAAUAUAAUUAAGGUUGAAAUAAAUCUUACAUUUAUUAUUAAAAAAAUGUAAACAAGACUUGAGGUUUUCCCACAUGUCGGGCAAAAUCGUUUCUAUUUGUUGUGGGAAAAUAAGCUUGUUAAAUAAUAAAAUCAUAAACAUAACCUAUUUGAGAAAAAGGAUGUGAAUUUUCUUAUUUUGAAUAAUAAUUACCAACAACUAUAAAAUGCGUAGUAUCAAGGCGUUCCAACAAAUAAAAAUUACAAAGAAAAAAAAAGGAACGUCAGAAUGUGACACGCCCGUUCUUCAUACGACGACGACCAAUUACUUGGCAUCAAAACAAAAAGCCGCUAUGACGUCCACAGCCGACCAAUGUUUGAACUCCGGCUGACCUAAGCGCACGCGCAAUCUUGAUAUAAAAGGAGUGGGAGGUGCACCGCCUCACAACAAACUGAACGCUCACAGCGAACAGACGUGUUGACUUUAAAAUUUUAAUAAAAAACAAUCAAAAUGUACACAAACCCUUUCGAGAGGAAACACUCGUCGUUGAGGCAAGCCCUUGACCGUUUCAUCCGUGGGGAGACCAGGAUCAGCUUCAGGAAGAAGACGGAUUUAUCCAAGUCUUCGAGUAGCAGCACAUCAUCCAUGGUGUCUUCGACCAUGGAUUACAAGCCCAAGUUCAAUGAGAAGAGGUGAAGAGACAGUGCGUGUGUGUUGUGAUAGUGAAAUAUUUUUGCCAGUUCCACUCUCUGAACAGGUCGAGUGAGUUGCAGACCGGUUGAGUGACGCCAGCAGGCCCAGUGGACAUGGGACUUUACCCGCUAAAAUGAAUGAAUAAACAUUUGUUCCUUUUUUGAAA